rnacentral:rRNA from 1 species
GAUGAACGCUGGCGGUAUGCUUUACACAUGCAAGUCAUACGGGAGUUAGUUUCGGCUAACUCCAGUGGCGGACGGGUGAGUAACACGUGAGAAUUCGCCUUUAGGAGGGGGAUAACAGGGGGAAACACCUGCUAAAACCCCAUAUGCCUUCGGGUCAAAAGAGUAAUCUGCCUAAAGAGAAGCUCGCGGCUGAUUAGCUAGUUGGUAGGGUAAAGGCCUACCAAGGCGACGAUCAGUAGCUGGUCUGAGAGGAUGAUCAGCCACACUGGAACUGAGACACGGUCCAGACUCCUACGGGAGGCAGCAGUGAGGAAUUUUCUGCAAUGGGCGAAAGCCUGACAGAGCAAUACCGCGUGAGGGAAGAAGGCUUACUGAGUUGUAAACCUCUGUUACCUAGGGAGGAAGAUCUGACGUUACCUAGGAGACGAAGCAUCGGCUAACUCCGUGCCAGCCGCCGCCGUAAAAC